rnacentral:lncRNA from 1 species
AACAUUUUCAAAUACUAGCACUAUAAUUUAAACUCUCCUAUUCCUCAGCUCUUCAAAUUGGUAUUUGAAUUUUGAGUCCAAAAUUAUUUGCAAAAGAGAAAAUGGGAAAAAAAGGAAAAGGAAAAAGGAAAAGAAAAUAAUUUCCCUACUUACCUUCGGCCCGAGUCGGCCCAGCCGCCUUGGCCCUCCUUUCCUUCGCGCGUCAGCCGCGCGGCCUAGCAGCCCACAGCCGU